UAUAAGGGAGAGAUUGUAGGAAGCAAAGGGGGUUCUCUGGUGAGGGAUUCUCUGCGUGUUUUUGGAGGAGCAGCAGCCGCUUUCCAUCUUUCCUAAGUUUUUCAUGUUCUUAAUACUUUUAAUUAUGUUUUCUUAUUUUAUGAGUAACUAAACUCUUUUUCUAGGGUUAGGAUGAUGCCCUAGCAUGAAUGUCUAUGGGUUUUAAUGUUAUUCAUUGGAUUUCUAGUUUCUUUUAGAUGAAUGCUUAAUCACUGUUUGAAUUGUUACUGUUUGUUUGAGUUCUUUGAUUGAUCACCUUAGGACUUUGCAUCUAGUAAGAUUGGAAGAUGAAUUUGAGGCUGAACUAGCAAUAUAAUUCAAUUAGCUUCUUGUGGUUAAGUGUGGUAAAUUACAUUAUUGCUUGACAAAGAAUAAUGGUUUGCUUGGUUCCCUUGUUUUCUAGAGCAUAAAGAGUCCUACUUGUUAAAUUUAUGCCUUAACCAGGAUAGACUGCAUGUUAGGAUAUACGACCUCUGCCUGAACUAGGAGAGAAUCAUUCACUUAAGGAAAACUAUGGUCUAAUGUGCCUGACAAGGACUUAGAUACGGGAAUUAUCAUCUAAAGAAUUGAAAGAUCCAUUGAAUGCAUUGAAACCUAAAUUAGAUUGCUUGUGGUUGAUUCCGAAUCCCUAGACUUUUCAUCACUUGCCUUAAAACACAACAUUUUCUUCUCUUUAAUUUCAGUUUUUACUUAAGGUUCUGUUUUUGUUCGUUUAUAAAAUCAUCACAACAAAUUCUUCACAUCCUUGAUUGAUUUUAUUAAUUAAGAUCGAGUCUAGUCCGUUGUUUGAAUUUAUAGUUUUGUGUUUGUGUGUUAUUAAUAUUAUUAGAUUUGGUUUAGUUUAUCGAAUUGGAGAUUGAAUUAGAAUCCUCGUGGGAACGAUACUUGGACUUGCAAAACGCUAUAUUACGACUACUUUGUGCACUUGCAAGUUUACACCAGUGUCCCCGUGCCUGUCCUGGCGCGUGGGGGCGCGUGCGGCCUCCAAAAAUUUUUCUAAAAAUUACUUGACGUCCGUGACGUCGAGUAGGUCGAUGUGGUAUAUUCAUACCCAAAUUGAGCAUCGUAUGAGAAGUUAUUUCGAAUUGUUGGUUAUGUGUUUAAAUUAACGUUUUUAUAGUUGUUUCGCAUAUAGGUGACACUUAUCCCGAGGACGAGCGCAUCCAGGGACGUCACGGGGGUUACGACCCAUCGACUUAUCAGUGAGUGGGCAGUUUUGUUUUCGUAUUACCUAUAUACAACUGUUUUUCCCAGAAAAUGCGUUUAUAUGAAAAUUAUGAUUUAAAUUGCCAUGCAUGCAAAUGUUGAGAUAUUUAGUUUGAUAAUUGAUGCAUAUAUAUGUUAAUUGACGCGGUGGACGCACAGGUGAUUUUUUAUAUUAUUCAGAUGAGUUAUUUUAUGAGAAUUGCAUUGAAAGCUCAUAACCUGCACCCUAGGUGUUAGUGCUUAUAUUAUUAUUCACCACAUCGCACGCUCGUCUUGGAUCCAAGUAGGUGGAUGUCGUA
rnacentral:lncRNA from 1 species